rnacentral:rRNA from 1 species
UACGAAGGGGGCUAGCGUUGUUCGGAAUUACUGGGCGUAAAGGGCGCGUAGGCGGCCCGCUAAGUCGAACGUGAAAUCCCCGAGCUCAACUCGGGAACUGCGUCCGAUACUGGCGGGCUUGAAUCCGGGAGAGGGAUGCGGAAUUCCAGGUGUAGCGGUGAAAUGCGUAGAUAUCAGGAAGAACACCGGUGGCGAAGGCGGGUCUCUGGGCAGUAACUGACGCUGAGGAGCGAAAGCGUGGGGAGCGAACAGG